GCCAGGUAUGGUGGCGCACACCUGUAGUCCCAGCUACCAAGGAGGCUGAGGUGGGAGGAUCACUUGAGCCCAGGAGGUCAAGGCUGUCACCAGCCAUUCUCACACCACUGCACUCUAGCCUGGGCUAUACAGUGAGAUUCUGCCUCAC
rnacentral:SRP_RNA from 1 species